CCUCACUGCCCCUCAAGCUAGGUGGAUUUUUCUCUUGUUGACAAAGAGUAUUUGGUAGGGAAAGCAGGUUAAAAAUAAAGACAGCCCUUCCCUGCCCUUUGUGUCCCCUUCCUGGUGACAGCAAGAAACCAUCAACACCAACAAGUUUCCACGUUCCUUUUACAGCAAAAGGGACUUUUUAUAUAACCAAAUGUGGUGUCUUAGUGACUUUUUGAUAAUGUACAGUUUUUUGUGAAUUUAAAUUUAUUUUUUUCUAUAUUUUUAGGACCAAUCUCAUUUUUAAUAAGGUUUAAAAAAAAGGAAAAAAAGUCUAGAGAAAAAAAAAUACCUUGUUUUUGCCAUGUGAUGUUCCACAGGUGCGGCUGUAGAAAAGUGCUUGUCAUUGAAUAAAAACCACAUUUGAUAAAAGAAAAAAAAAAAAAAAAAAAAAAAAAACA
rnacentral:lncRNA from 1 species